UUAUUAUAAUUAUUUUUAAUUUUUUAUUUUAUAUAAAAUUAUUUUUAUUUUUUUUAGUAUUGUUUAGAACUAAUAAUUAUAUUUUUUACUGAUAAGGAUUAACUUAUAAUAUUUUAAUUUAAAUUUUUAGUACCUUUUGUAUCAGGGUGGAUUAAUUAAAUUAAUUAUAUUUAUUUUCCCGAAUUAAAAGGUUAUAUUAUUAUUUUCUUCUUAAUAUUUCAAUAUUUUUUGUAAAAUAAUAUUAGUAGUUAUAUACUAUUCAUUUUUUUUAUAUCUGGUUAUUAAGUAAAUUAAUUAAAUUAAGUGUUUAAUUUUAUAAUUAAUUACUAAUUUUCAUUAAACAUAAUUAUAUUAGGGACAAUCUUAAUAUAUUAAUAUAAUUUUUUUAUGUAAAUAUUUUUUUACUUUAAAAUUUUGUAUUUAGUUUUUAUAAAAUUAAUAUUGCUAAUUAAUAUUUUAUAUUAUUUACUUUUUUAUUUAAUUUUUUUAUAUAAUAUAUUUAUAUAUUAAUAAUGAUUUAAUUAGUAUAAUAUAACAAUUAAAUUUUAAUGAACUCGACAAUUAUUAUUUCCAACUGUUUAACAAAAACAUUUCUUUUUGAUUAUAUAAAAAGUAUUUUCUGCCCAAUGAUAUUUAUUUAAAUGGCCGCAGUAUACUAACUGUGCAAAGGUAGCAAAAUAAUUAGUUUCUUAAUUAGAAGCUAGAAUGAAUGGAUAUAUGUGAUAUAUAUUUUAUUAGGUUUAAAAUUAAAAUUUUAAUUUUGGGUUAAAAUGCUCAAUUUCUUUUUAGGGACGAUAAGACCCUAUAGAACUUUAAAUAUAAUUUAGUUGGUUUUUUUUUUAUAUAAAUUUAUUAAAUUUUAUUUUUAGUUGGGGUGACAGUUAAAUUUUAACUUUAAUUUUGAUAAUCAUUAUUUUAUGUAGUUUUUGAUCCAUAUAUAUGAUAAUAAGAUAAAGUUACCUUAGGGAUAACAGCGUAAUUUUAGUGGGGAGUUCACAUCUAUACUAAAUUUUGCGACCUCGAUGUUGAAUUAAGAUAAAAAAAAGAAGCAGAAUUCUUUAUGUUUAAGUCUGUUCGACUUUUAAAUUCUUACAUGAUUUGAGUUCAGACCGGCGUAAGCCAGGUUGGUUUCUAUCUUAAAAUAAAUAUAAGAUUAGUUAGUACGAAAGGACCAUUAAUUUAUACAUGUUGUAUUAAUAUUUUAAUAUA